rnacentral:rRNA from 1 species
GACGAACGCUGGCGGCGUGCUUAACACAUGCAAGUCGAACGGAAAGGCCCCCACUUUUUUGGUGGGGGUGCUCGAGUGGCGAACGGGUGAGUAACACGUGGGUGAUCUGCCCUGUACUUCGGGAUAAGCUUGGGAAACUGGGUCUAAUACCGGAUAGGACCAUGGUUUAGUGUCUCAUGGUGGAAAAAUUAUUGUUUUGGUGCAGGAUGAGCUCGCGGCCUAUCAGCUUGUUGGUGGGGUAAUGGCCUACCAAGGCGUCGACGGGUAGCCGGCCUGAGAGGGUGGACGGCCGCGUUGGGACUGAGAUACGGCCCAGGCGCCUACGGGAGGCAGCAGUGGGGAAUAUUGCACAAUGGGCGCAAGCCUGAGGCAGCGACGCCGCGUGGGGGAUGACGGCCUUCGGGUUGUAAACUCCUUUCGUUAGGGACGAAGCCGCACCUUUUUUGGGUGUGGUGACGGUACCUUUGUUAAGAAGCACCGGCUAACUACGUG